GCAUAGAAAAAGACUAUGUGAGGAUACAUCAAGAAGGUGGUUAUCGUCUUGUCUCUCAUAGUGUCCCAUGCCAGAGCAAACUGUAGCCCUGAAUCAUUGCCUGGCCUCUGCCUUAGGCUGCUGGCAAUGAAGAGGGUUGCACAGUG
rnacentral:snoRNA from 1 species